rnacentral:rRNA from 1 species
AACGAACGCUGGCGGCAUGCCUAACACAUGCAAGUCGAACGAGACGUCCGUGCCUUGUGGCGCUCGUCGGGGUACGGCCGGGGAACCUGCCCUUAGGUUCCGAACAACUCCCCGAAGGGGGUGCUAAUACCGGUUAGUGUCUUCGGACCAAAGAUUUAUGGCCUUUGGAUGGGCGCGCGUUGGUUUAGCUAGUUGGUAGGGUAAAAGCAUAGCAAGGCGUCGUUGCUUAGCUGGUGUGUUAGCAUGACAAACCACAAUGGAGAUACGACACGGCCCAGACUCGUACGGAAGGGAGCAGAGGGGAGUAUUGGGCGAUGGGCGAAGGCGUGAUACAGCCACGCCGGGUAAGUGAUGAAGGCGUUAGGGUUGUACAGCUGUUUUAGCCGGGAUGAUAGUGACAGUACCGGGAGAAUAAGCACCGGCUAACUCCGUG